rnacentral:lncRNA from 1 species
AAACACCACUCUUUUGGGGUGGGGUUAGUAAACCCCACCCCAAACCGGAUUAGUGGGGUUUACUAACCCCACUCCCCCUCCCAACUUUAACCCCGCACGCAUCCCGAGCCCUCACAAUUUUUUUCUUUAUCAAUCAUUAACCCCACUCCCCCUCCCAACUUUAAUCCCGCACGCAUCCCGAGCUCUCACCUUUUUCUUCUUUAUCAAUCAUUAUCUUUUUAUCCCACCUACUCCAACCAAACACUUUUUUUCACUAUCCUAUACUAACUCCAAUCUCCAACCAAACACAAAAAAAUUUUAACAUCAUUUUAACCCUGAACUUAACCCUAUCCCUGAAAUAGCUACUUUUUCUUAAUCCCGAACCAAACGGGGCUAGAAGAAUAAGAGGCAUGUAU